UGGGGAAUUUUGGACAAUGGGCGAAAGCCUGAUCCAGCAAUGCCGCGUGUGUGAAGAAGGCCUUCGGGUUGUAAAGCACUUUUGUCCGGAAAGAAAUGGCUCUGGUUAAUACCUGGGGUCGAUGACGGUACCGGAAGAAUAAGGACCGGCUAACUACGUGCCAGCAGCCGCGGCAAUACGUAGGGUCCAAGCGUUAAUCGGAAUUACUGGGCGUAAAGCGUGCGCAGGCGGUUGUGCAAGACCGAUGUGAAAUCCCCGAGCUUAACUUGGGAAAUGCAUUGGUAAAUGCACGGCUUGAGUGGGACAGAGGGGGGUAGAAUUCCACGUGUAGCAGUGAAAUGCGUAGAGAUGUGGAGGAAUAACGAUGGCGAAGGCAGCCCCCUGGGAUAACACUGACGCUCAUGCACGAAAGCGUGGGGAGCAAACAGG
rnacentral:rRNA from 1 species